CCUGCAUGAAGUUGGAAUUGCUAGUAAUCGCGAAUCAGAAUGUCGCGGUGAAUACGUUCCCGGGCCUUGUACACACCGCCCGUCAAACCAUGAGAGUUGGCAACACCCGAAGCCUGUAGCUUAACCGCAAGGACGGCGCAGUCGAAGGUGGGGUCGAUGAUUAGGGUUAAGUCGUAACAAGGUACC
rnacentral:rRNA from 1 species